rnacentral:rRNA from 1 species
UACGGGGGGAGCAAGCGUUGUUCGGAUUUACUGGGCGUAAAGGGCGCGUAGGCGGCCACCGCAAGUCGGUUGUGAAAUCUCUGGGCUUAACCCAGAAAGGUCAACCGAUACUGCGGGGCUAGAGUGCAGAAGGGGCAACUGGAAUUCUCGGUGUAGCGGUGAAAUGCGUAGAUAUCGAGAGGAACACCUGCGGCGAAGGCGGGCUACUGGGCCGAUACUGACACUGAGGCACGAAGGCCAGGGGAGCAAACGGG